AUUGAACGCUGGCGGCACGCUUAACACAUGCAAGUCGAGCGGUGACAUGACUAGUAGCAAUACUAGUUGAUGACGAGCGGCGGACGGGUGAGUAACACGUAGGAACUUGCCCAGUAGUGGGGGACAACCAAGGGAAACUUUGGCUAAUACCGCAAAUUCUCGAGAGAGGAAAGCUGCCGCAAGGUGGCGCUAUUGGAGAGGCCUGCGUCCGAUUAGUUAGGUGGUAGGGUAAAAGCCUACCAAGGCGAGGAUCGGUAACUGGUCUGAGAGGACGACCAGUCACACUGGGACUGAGACACGGCCCAGACUCCUACGGGAGGCAGCAGUGGGGAAUCUUGGACAAUGGGGGCAACCCUGAUCCAGCGAUGCCGCGUGAGUGAAGAAGGCCUUCGGGUCGUAAAGCUCUUUAGGCUGGGAAGAAGGUUGGUAGUUUAAGAGAUAAUCAAUUUGACUGUACCAGCAGAAUAAGCACCGGCAAACUCUGUGCCAGCCGCCGCAGUAA
rnacentral:rRNA from 1 species